AGCUGAUCGGAGCCUGGAGCCGGUGUGUGCUGGGUACCGAGAAGAGACAGCGCCGCCGGCCGUGGGGAGCGGACGCAGCGAUUUGCUCCCCUUCGCGCAGCAACCCCCACACCCAGCACCAGGAGCCUGUUCCUCUCACACCCUCACCUGGCUGAGCCGCAGUAGUUCUUCAGUGGCAAGCUUUAUGUCCUGACCCAGCUAAAGCUGCCAGUUGAAGAACUGUUGCCCUCUGCCCCUGGCUUCGAGGAGGAGGAGGAGCUGCUUUCCCCAUCAUCUGGAAGGUGACAGAAAUGGGCUGGGAAGGUCCGAACAGCAGGGUUGAUGAUACGUUUUGGGAAAGUUGUAGAGCCUUUGCCCAGAUUGGCCCAGCAAGGAGCGGUUUUAGAUUAGAGACACUGGCUGAAUUGAGGAGUAGAAGGCUCAAACAACCCAAGGUUAGUUGGUCUUUGUGUGACAAUGGGAAGAAGUGGGGAGAACACUCUGUCUCCCCAACUUCCUUCUAGACCCUCCUUCCUUAUCUUUCAUUCUUCCCCACCGGCCUUUCCAGAUGAGGUCCAAAAGUAAGCUCACUCUUCAGGGAAAAGUGAUUCUAAACCCGGGUGUGAGGAGUCAUCCUUCUGCUCUUACUUUUCCCUGCAUUUCCUUAGGCUGGCCCAGACUCUAGAUUCCUGGGCACUUACCUAUUAUCUGAGACCCUUAGACUUCCUGUCUCAGUUUCUCCACCUGUGAGAUGGGCAGUCACACAGAUGAGUGUGCUGAGGGAAUCAGAAGCCCAUCUGUGUCGACUCAGAACCUGGGCUCUCCCCCUGCUGUGGGUGGAAACAAAACACCUUUUCACAUAAGCUGUUGUCCCUCCCCCAUCCCUGAUACCAUCACCCAGGAGCUGGGCGGGGGAAUGGGAAGCUGGAGGAGGGGGUUAGAGUUAGACCAAUGCAAGGAGCUAAUAAGAGCUUGCCUCUCUGUGACUUCCCCCUAUGCAAGGGUGGCCCAAGGCUUCCCUUGAUAUCCAAAGCAGGACAGCAGCCCCUUGGUGGGAUUCUAACUGCUGCUGCUCUGUUUCUUUCCUCACUUUGCUUUCCAAGGUGGUAUGUGAUCCCCAGCUCAGGCCUGUGCAGACAGGAAAUUCUCCGCUGCAGCAAGUAGGGGAGGUGGGUUGUGGGAUGUGACCUCCUUCUGGAUAUCAGGCGGUGAGUGUAAACCUGCCACCUCCAGCCCUGAUCCAUUCUCACCUAGCGGCUACAGGAAGCUGUGUCUGUUCGAUUUGGUGGGAGGAGAUGUGCAGGGAGCUGUAUCUUAUCCUCCGCUUGUGAAAAACUCAAGGAUGUGGAGAAGAGUAGACCGUGGAACCCUGCCCUUCUGCAACCAAGCUGAGGGGCAGGAUGCGUAUGGGACAGUGGUAGAGAAGCAGGGGAUAGACGCAUAGGCUGCAACAAAGGUCACUCUGUCCCUGGACACUGCCUCCGUACUUUCUCCUUCUUGCUUCACUGGCCACAGCAUCUCCCUCCAGCCCUCACUAUGUGCCUCUGCCAUCUUCACCCAUCAUGGAGCAGAGGUGAGGAAAGGCAGCCUGGGAAUGUGGAGACCAGUGAAGGACCAGGCCUGGAAAGCACAGGGUCCUACCUGGGCAUCCAGCAGAGGAGCCCCUAAAGGCCAGGAGCAACCCAAGAGGAGGGAGGACAGCCAGCCUCCAUCGACGGCGAGCCUCCAGCCCUCUCCUACUUUGAUCACCAUUUCUCUCCAGGCUUUCUGCCUCCGAGAUGUGGCACCAUAGUGCAGUGCCCUGUGGCUUCACCGCCCUACUUCCACCUCCGCCCAGCCUGUAAUGUUUAUAAAAGCAGCCUCAAGGACCAAGAACCAUCUGCGAAAGGACACACACAGGAAAUUCAUAAAAGAAAUCUGAAUGGAUAAAACCAUGAAAAAAAUGUAUGCUUCAUUAGUAAUUAAAGAAAGGCAAAUAGAGCUGAAAGCAUUUUUCCCUUAGCAAGCCAUGACAGAAAAAAAUAAGACCCAAUAUUGGCAAAGAGACUACUGAAAAAACAUUCCCAUACAUUGCGUGUGGGAGUAUACAUCGGUGCAGGCUUCCUGGAUGACAGUUGGGUGAUAUGUGUCAUGUGGCCUAGAAGCCUCCAUGUCAUUUGACAUACGAAUUCUAUCUUUGAGAAUUUAUCCUAGGAAAAUACUUAAGGAUUUAGUUAGUGAUAAGAUGUUCAUCCCAGCAUUGCAAUGGAGAAAAAUGGGAAGCAAUGGUUUGGUUGGGAAUUUAUUCCUUUUCUGCUGUAACGAAAGUUUGCAAUAGGGGAUUGCUUAAGUAAAUUAUUGUAUCUCCAUCCAGAUGGUGGAGUACCGCGCAGACAUUAAAAGUCAUGUAAAAGAACAUCUGACUGAAAGAAAAAUGCUCCUUGAAUAUUAAAAGGUUGUAAAAAUAGUGCAUAUUAUGUGAUUUCAAUUUUGUUUUUUAAAAUAUGGGUGUAUCCUUGUAUACGUAGAGCAGAUAAAAAAGAUGGAAGGCAUGCUAAAAAAAAAUGUUUAGUGGUUAUCUUUGUAUGGUGGAACAAAGUCACUGUAAUUUUCAUCUGGUUUUUCUGUAAUUUCCAAAUUUUCUACAUUGUGUAUUUCAUAUAAUAAAUAUAAUUUAA
rnacentral:lncRNA from 1 species